rnacentral:rRNA from 1 species
UCCUACGGGGAAGCAGCAGUGGGGAAUCUUGGACAAUGAGGGCAACCCUGAUCCAGCAAUGCCGCGUGUGGGAUGAAGGCCUUCGGGUUGUAAACCACUUUUGGCGGGGACGAAAUAGUGAGUGCUAAUAUCAUUCGUUGAUGACGGUACCUGCAGAAUAAGCCCCGGCUAAUUACGUGCCAGCAGCCGCGGUAAUACGUAGGGUGCAAGCGUUAAUCGGAAUUACUGGGCGUAAAGCGUGCGCAGGCGGUUGAGUAAUACAGAUGUGAAAUUCCCGGGCUCAACUUGGGAAGUGCAUUUGUGACUGCUUGGCUAGAGUGCGGCAGAGGGGAGUGGAAUUCCGCGUGUAGCAGUAAAAUGCGUAGAUAUGCGGAGGAACACCGAUGGCGAAGGCAGCUCCCUGGCCCUGCACUGACGCUCACGCACGAAAGCGUGGGGAGCAAACGGGAUUAGAUCCCCUGGUAGUCCACCCCCUAACCGAUGUCGAUUAGUUUGUUGGAUCGGGUCAUCUAUUCAGUAUCGUAGCUAGCGCGUAAGU